GCUGGGCGCAUGGCACACGCCUGUAAUCCCAGUGGCUCUGGAGGCUGAGGCAGGAGGAUCGUGAGUUCAAAGCCAGCUUCAGCAAAAAGUGAGGUGCUAAGCAAUUCAAUGAGAUUCUGUCUCUA
rnacentral:sRNA from 1 species